CAGCAGCCGCGGUAAAACGUAGGGUGCAAGCGUUAAUCGGAAUUACUGGGCGUAAAGCGUGCGCAGGCGGUUAUAUAAGACAGAUGUGAAAUCCCCGGGCUCAACCUGGGAACUGCAUUUGUGACUGUAUAGCUAGAGUACGGCAGAGGGGGAUGGAAUUCCGCGUGUAGCAGUGAAAUGCGUAGAUAUGCGGAGGAACACCGAUGGCGAAGGCAAUCCCCUGGGCCUGUACUGACGCUCAUGCACGAAAGCGUGGGGAGCAAACAGGAUUAGAGACCCCAGUAGUCCUGUCUCUUAUACA
rnacentral:rRNA from 1 species